AUGCAGCCUGCUUCUGCAAAGUGGUACGAUCGAAGGCACUAUGUCUUCGUUGAAUUUUGUGUUGAAGACAUAAGGAUGUUAAUGUAAAUUUUGAAAAAUCCAAACUUAUAUUCAGUUGUCUUGGAGAAAGUGAUAAUUUUAAGCACUUAAAUGAAAUUGAUCUUUUUUACUGUAUUGAUCCAAAUGCGAAUUGUCUUAGUGUGGACUUGAAUAAUUGGAAAGACUGGGAAGAUGGUUCAGAUGAAGACAGGUCUAAUUUUGAUAGUUUCUCCGAGAUGAUGAACAACAUGGGUGGUGAUGAGGAUGUAGAUUUACCAGAAGUAGAUGAAGCAAAGGAUGAUUCACAAGACAGUGAUGAUGAAAAAAUGCCAGAUCUGGAGUAAGAAAUAUUGUCAUCACCUGGAUUUUGAGAAAAAAAAAACUUCUCUCCAAGAUUUCAUAAUUGAGAGAACUCCUGAGUUGAUAGCCCUAAAGGCAGAUGCUGUAUUUGCCUACUUUAACCCGUUUUUCAACCUGUUUGUUUUUUAAAAGGCUUCACUAAGGGUUUAUAUGUACCAUUGUAUGGGGCAAUUUUAAGUCAGCUAAGGCAAUGACCUUAUACGUGAACAUUUCCCAGACUUUAGUGAAGCUGUUGAGGUCCUAGGCAACUGAUGCAGCAGUUGUGAUAAAUAAAAAUAUUUCACCUAAGUCUCCUUUUCUUCAUAACAUAGAUACUGACAUGAUAGGAAGCUCUCAACGUAGGUAAAGAGAACAAAAUUUUAGUU